rnacentral:misc_RNA from 1 species
GAAAUGCGAUAAGUAGUGUGAAUUGCAGAAUUCAGUGAAUCAUCGAAUCUUUGAACGCAUAUUGCGCCCCUUGGUAUUCCAUGGGGCAUGCCUGUUCGAGCGUCAUUUGUACCCUCAAGCUCUGCUUGGUGUUGGGUGUUUGUCCCCGUCUCCGCGCGUGGACUCGCCCCAAAGUGAUUGGCAGCCGGCGUACUGGUCCCGGAGCGCAGCACAUGUCGCGCAAACGAGUGCCUUGGUACGGCGGCGUCCAUAAGCCCCUCUCUCACGCUCUUGACCUCGGAUCAGGUAGGGAUACCCGCUGAACUUCAGC